rnacentral:rRNA from 1 species
UACGGAGGGUGCGAGCGUUGUCCGGAAUCAUUGGGCGUAAAGGGCGCGUAGGUGGCUUCUUAAGCGUGCGGUGAAAGCCUGGGGCUCAACCCCGGGUCGGCCGUGCGAACUGGGGGGCUGAAGCACUGUAGAGGCAGGCGGAAUUCCGGGUGUAGCGGUGGAAUGCGUAGAGGUCCGGAAGAACACCGGUGGCGAAGGCGGCCUGCUGGGCAGUUGCUGACACUGAGGCGCGACAGCGUGGGGAGCAAACAGG